rnacentral:piRNA from 1 species
UUGCAUGUGGUUCCCUGAUGGU